GUGAGGAAUAUUGGACAAUGGAUGGAAAUCUGAUCCAGCCAUGCCGCGUGCAGGAAGACGGCCCUAUGGGUUGUAAACUGCUUUUAUACGGGAGCAAUAAGGUCUAUGCAUAGAUUGAUGAGAGUACCGUAUGAAUAAGCAUCGGCUAACUCCGUGCCAGCAGCCGCGGUAAUACGGAGGAUGCGAGCGUUAUCCGGAUUUAUUGGGUUUAAAGGGUGCGUAGACGGCUUUGUAAGUCAGCGGUGAAAUUUUGCAGCUUAACUGUAAAAGCGCCGUUGAUACUGUGAAGCUAGGAUUUGGUUGCUGUGGGCGGAAUGUGUGGUGUAGCGGUGAAAUGCAUAGAGAUCACACAGAAUAUCGAUUGCGAAGGCAGCUCACAAAGCCAAUAUUGACGCUGAGGCACGAAAGUGUGGGGAUCAAACAGGAUUAGAAACCCGUGUAGUCC
rnacentral:rRNA from 1 species